rnacentral:rRNA from 1 species
CGCUGGCGGCGUGCCUAACACAUGCAUGUCGAACGAGAAUCCGGGCUUCGGUCCGGUAGUAAAGUGGCGCACGGGUGAGUAACACGUGGGUAACGUACAUCGUAGUGGGGGAUAACCAGGUGAAAGCUUGGCUAAUACCGCAUGAGUCCGCUGGGGCGCAGGCCCUGGGCGGGGAAAGUGGAGCAAUCCACGCUACGAGAUCGGCUCGCGGCCCAUUAGCUAGUUGGCGGGGUAACGGCCCACCAAGGCGACGAUGGGUAGCUGGUCUGAGAGGAUGAUCAGCCACACUGGAACUGAGACACGGUCCAGACUCCUACGGGAGGCAGCAGGUGGGGAAUUUUUGCGCAAUGGGCGAAAGCCUGACGCAGCAACGCCGCGUGUGUGACGAAGGCCCUAGGGUUGUAAAGCACUGUGGGAAGGGAAAGAAAAACGGGGGUUGUACCCCGUCUUGACGGUACCUUGUUAGAAAGCACCGGCUAACUCCGUG